UACGUAGGGGGCAAGCGUUGUCCGGAUUUACUGGGCGUAAAGAGCGUGUAGGCGGCCACGCAGGUCCGUUGUGAAAACUGGAGGCUCAACCUCCAGCUGUCGACGGAAACCGUGUGGCUAGAGUCCGGAAGAGGAGAGUGGAAUUCCUGGUGUAGCGGUGAAAUGCGCAGAUAUCAGGAAGAACACCAAUGGCGAAGGCAGCUCUCUGGGACGGUACUGACGCUGAGGCGCGAAAGCGUGGGGAGCAAACAGG
rnacentral:rRNA from 1 species